rnacentral:rRNA from 1 species
UACGUAGGCAGCAAGCGUUGUUCGGAUUUAUUGGGCGUAAAGAGCUCGUAGGCGGCUCGUCGCGUCGACCGUGAAAACCCGCGGCUUAACUGCGGGCUUGCGGUUGAUACGGGCGGGCUAGAGUUCGGUAGGGGAGACUGGAAUUCCUGGUGUAGCGGUGAAAUGCGCAGAUAUCAGGAGGAACACCGGUGGCGAAGGCGGGUCUCUGGGCCGAUACUGACGCUGAGGAGCGAAAGCGGGGGGAGCGAACAGG